UCGAAAUGGUACAUCCUCUUUAUUUUCUUAUUCUUUCUCAAUGCACAUAACACUUGUCACAACCAUUCUCAGAACAAUGCAAAUGACAUGUUCACACAAAUAAUGAGGAGAUGACCAUUUUCAUAACAUUGCACAAUUCACAACAAGACAAUCAGGCUACAACAUCAACAAUGAUUCAACAAGCCUUUCAAACAAUUCUCAACACAUCACACAAAUAAUUGAUCACAUUGCCUUUUAUUAUCCCUUUUUCAUCAUUAGAAUUAAUCAAUGUGGACAAGUCAACCCAUCACCAAGCCUCAUUACCCUAAACACAUAUUACAAGGAAAUACAUGAAUUCCAUACACUUAACAAGGGUUUAGAAAU
rnacentral:lncRNA from 1 species